GGACGAACGCUGGCGGCGUGCCUAAUACAUGCAAGUCGAACGGUCUUUCUAUGGAAGCUUGCUUCACUGAGAAGAUAGUGGCGAACGGGUGAGUAACACGUGGGUAACCUGCCCAUAAGAGGGGGGAUAACAUCCGGAAACGGGUGCUAAUACCGCAUAGUUUUCUUGAUCGCAUGAUUGAGAAAGGAAAGACGGCCUUUGUGCUGUCGCUUAUGGAUGGACCCGCGGCGUAUUAGUUAGUUGGUGAGGUAACGGCUCACCAAGACGAUGAUACGUAGCCGACCUGAGAGGGUGAUCGGCCACAUUGGGACUGAGACACGGCCCAAACUCCUACGGGAGGCAGCAGUAGGGAAUCUUCCGCAAUGGACGAAAGUCUGACGGAGCAACGCCGCGUGAGUGAAAGAAGGUUUUCGGAUCGUAAAACUCUGUUGUCAGAGAAGAACAAGUUGGAGAGUAACUGCUCCAGCCUUGACGGUAUCUGACCAGAAAGCCACGGCUAACUACGUGCCAGCCGCCGC
rnacentral:rRNA from 1 species